rnacentral:rRNA from 1 species
GAGGGGGAGUAACAAUCCGGAAACGGGUAGCUAAUACCGCAUAGUUUUCUUGAUCGCAUGAUUGAGAAGGAAAGACGGCCUUUGUGCUGUCGCUUAUGGAGUGGACCCGUCGGCGUAUUAGUUAGUUGGUGAGGUAACGGCUCACCAAGACGAUGAUACGUAGCCGACCUGAGAGGGUGAUCGGCCACAUUGGGACUGAGACACGGCCCAAACUCCUACGGGAGGCAGCAGUAGGGAAUCUUCCGCAAUGGACGAAAGGUCUGACGGAGCAACGCCGCGUGAGUGAAGAAAAGGUUUUUCGGAUCGUAAAACUCUGUUGUCAGAGAAGAACAAGUUGGAGAGUUAACUGCUCCAGCCUUGACGGUAUCUGACCAGAAAAGCCACGGCUAACUACGUGCCAGCCGCCGC